rnacentral:rRNA from 1 species
AUAGCGUAUAUUUAAGUUGCUGCAGUUAAAAAGCUCGUAGUUGGAUUUCGAGAUCGUCCUGCCGGUCCGCCGUUUCGGUGUGCACUGGCGCGGGCGGUCUUUGUUGCUGGGGACGUGCUCCUGGGCUUCACUGUCCGGGACUCGGAGUCAGCGAGGUUACUUUGAGUAAAUUAGAGUGUUCAAAGCAGGCUACCGCUCUGAAUACAUUAGCAUGGAAUAACAUGAUAGGACUCUGGCUUAUCUUGUUGGUCUGUAAGACCGGAGUAAUGAUUAAGAGGGACAGUUGGGGGCAUUCGUAUUUCAUUGUCAGAGGUGAAAUUCUUGGAUUUAUGAAAGACGAA